GUGAUACUUCCUUCAUCCGGAAAUAUUUGUCAGAGAAAUAGAUGUAUCUAGACUUAUUUUAGUUAUAGAUAUUCCAAUUUUAUCCAUUUCUGCGACAAGUAAUUCCGAACGGAGGUAAUAUAUG
rnacentral:pre_miRNA from 1 species